rnacentral:rRNA from 1 species
GAUGAACGCUGGCGGCGUGCCUAAUACAUGCAAGUCGAGCGAACGGACGAGAAGCUUGCUUCUCUGAUGUUAGCGGCGGACGGGUGAGUAAAACGUGGAUAACCUACCUAUAAGACUGGGAUAACUUCGGGAAACCGGAGCUAAUACCGGAUAAUAUUUUGAACCGCAUGGUUCAAAAGUGAAAGACGGUCUUGCUGUCACUUAUAGAUGGAUCCGCGCUGCAUUAGCUAGUUGGUAAGGUAACGGCUUACCAAGGCAACGAUGCAUAGCCGACCUGAGAGGGUGAUCGGCCACCCUGGAACUGAGACACGGUCCAGACUCCUACGGGAGGCAGCAGUAGGGAAUCUUCCGCAAUGGGCGAAAGCCUGACGGAGCAACGCCGCGUGAGUGAUGAAGGUCUUCGGAUCGUAAAACUCUGUUAUUAGGGAAGAACAUAUGUGUAAGUAACUGUGCACAUCUUGACGGUACCUAAUCAGAAAGCCACGGCUAACUACGUG